GAUGAACGCUAGCGGCAGGCCUAAUACAUGCAAGUCGGACGGGAUUCAGGAGCUUGCUUCUGAUGAGAGUGGCGCACGGGUGCGUAACACGUAUGUAACCUACCUUUAUCAGGGGGAUAGCCUCUCGAAAGAGAGAUUAAGCCCGCAUAAAAUCACAGCACAGCAUUGUGUAAUGAUCAAAUAUUUAUAGGAUAAAGAUGGGCAUGCGGAACAUUAGCUAGAUGGCGGGGUAACGGCCCACCAUGGCGACGAUGUUUAGGGGAUCUGAGAGGAUGGCCCCCCACACUGGUACUGAGACACGGACCAGACUCCUACGGGAGGCAGCAGUAAGGAAUAUUGGUCAAUGGGCGGAAGCCUGAACCAGCCAAGCCGCGUGCAGGAAGACGGCCCUACGGGUUGUAAACUGCUUUUAUACGGGAAUAAACCCAGAUACGUGUAUCUGGCUGAAUGUACUGUAAGAAUAAGGAUCGGCUAACUCCGUG
rnacentral:rRNA from 1 species